ensembl:lncRNA
CAGUAAAGGUGUCACGUUUGCUGUGUGGAAGGCACAGCUCAGGACAUAGGGAGUAAACUCAAAACGGCAGCUUUAUUGCUGGAAAACUCUUACACUAAUACAGAAAACAAAACCAAAAACUCAAACAUGAAACUCAAACCAUAAAGGUAGAAAACAAAACUGGGAAGAGAAUUCCAAAAUACAGGGAGCAUGGAGGAAACACACACAGCACAGAGAGGAUGUAUGAUGGUUAAGCCAGUACCGUGACAAAAGGGCUAUUCUGUUCUAUUUACUGGGGACAUUUCAUUCUUGCAUGUACCAACUUCCUGUUUGUCAUUCAUAGUAAAAUAAAAAUGCACAAUUUAAUGUCAGCACUUGUGUCAUCACAGGUUCACACAGAGCCCUCUGGCUCUGUAUCCUGUCUUCACCAAAUGACCAAGGAAUAAGCUCAACACAAACAAAAUUGCCAUAUCCAGUUUAACAAUGUUAUUCAUUCAUUUUUCACAGUUUAUUGUUGUGCUACUAGAAGUGAUGAGUAUACUUUUAACAAUCCUAUAACAGUAAUAAUCACAGAGCUGGGAGAUGAAUUGAAUUAUGAUUUAAAUCACAAUUCUGGCUUUUAACAACUAAGUAAAAUCUCAUCAUUCAAAACUGAGUAGAUCCAAAAUGCUUCACUUAAUCACUUUGUCAAAUGAUUUAAAUUUCUUGGAUUUAAUAUUUCAAAAUUUGGUACAGAUACAUUCUUGUCUGGUAACAAUAAUAGACUCAGCUGGCUCUUUUCUUUUCCCUCCUUUAAAAAAUGUUAAAUUGUCUUCCUCCACACAUGAAUCAAUGUGUGUUUUGAAAUAAGUCAAAAUACAAAAUAUCACAUCAGAUUUUUGAAAGGUUUAAAAAUAGGUUACACAUUUAAAUGAAACACGAAGUUGGUAUGAAUGUAUUUGUUCAACUAACAGACAAUGAAAACAAACAGAAAUCAGGGCAUGAAAUUUAAACAUUUUUAUUGAUGUUAAUUUGAAGUGCUGAAUUAGUUAUGUUGUCAGUUCAAUUCAGUUCACUUCAAUCUGUAAGGGAAAUGAAAUGAAAUGAUGGUCUUUUCACACUGUAAGGUUUGUACUGCUACCUUACCUUACCUGUCUGUUGGGGUUUUCUUUUUAACACUGUAAGGUUUCCUUACAGUAAU